rnacentral:rRNA from 1 species
CCUACGGGAGGCAGCAGUGAGGCAUAUUGGUCAAUGGGCGAGAGCCUGAACCAGCCAAGUCGCGUGAAUGAUGACUGCCCUACGGGUUGUACACUUUUUUUGUCAGGGAGCACUUGAGUCCACUUGUGUUCUUAGCGAGAGUACCUGACGAAAAAGCAUCGGCUAACUCCGUGCCAGCAGCCGCGGUACUACGGGGGAUGCGAGCGUUAUCCGGAUUGAUUGGGGUUAAGGGGUGCAUAGGCGGAAUAUCAAGUCAGCGGUAAAAAUUCGGGGCUCAACCCCGUCGUGCCGUUGAAACUGAUGUUCUUGAGUGGGCGAGAAGUAUGCGGAAUGCGUGGUGUAGCGGUGAAAUGCAUAGAUAUCACGCAGAACUCCGAUUGCGAAGGCAGCAUACCGGCGCCCAACUGACGCUGAAGCACGAAAGCGUGGGUAUCGAACAGGAUUAGAUACCCGAGUAGUC